GACUGUAAUGCAAGGUAUGGAGUAAUCUGGACCCCUGCUUUCUUUCAGUACCCGGCACGUUAUGGAGUAAUAUAGCUGCCUGGGUGAUACCCCCUGCUUCUUUCAGUACCCGGCACGUUAUGGAGUAAUAUAGCUGCCUGGGUGAUACCCCCUGCUUCUUUCAGUACCCGGCACGUUAUGGAGUAAUAUAGCUGCCUGGGAGAUA